GAAUGCUGACAUAAGUAACGAUAAAGCGGGUGAAAAGCCCGCUCGCCGGAAGACCAAGGGUUCCUGUCCAACGUUAAUCGGGGCAGGGUGAGUCGACCCCUAAGGCGAGGCCGAAAGGCGUAGUCGAUGGGAAACAGGUUAAUAUUCCUGUACUUGGUGUUACUGCGAAGGGGGGACGGAGAAGGCUAUGUUAGCCGGGCGACGGUUGUCCCGGUUUAAGCAUGUAGGCGGAGGUUCCAGGUAAAUCCGGUACCUUUUAACGCUGAGGUGUGAUGACGAGGCACUACGGUGCUGAAGUAACAAAUGCCCUGCUUCCAGGAAAAGCCUCUAAGCAUCAGGUAACAUCAAAUCGUACCCCAAACCGACACAGGUGGUCAGGUAGAGAAUACCAAGGCGCUUGAGAGAACUCGGGUGAAGGAACUAGGCAAAAUGGUGCCGUAACUUCGGGAGAAGGCACGCUGAUAUGUAGGUGAAGCCCCUGCGGGUGGAGCUGAAAUCAGUCGAAGAUACCAGCUGGCUGCAACUGUUUAUUAAAAACACAGCACUGUGCAAACACGAAAGUGGACGUAUACGGUGUGACGCCUGCCCGGUGCCGGAAG
rnacentral:rRNA from 1 species